rnacentral:rRNA from 1 species
CCUUAGAUGUUCUGGGCCGCACGCGCGCUACACUGACGGAGCCAGCGAGUACUCCCUUGGCCGGAAGGCCUGGGUAAUCUUGUUAAACUCCGUCGUGCUGGGGAUAGAGCAUUGCAAUUAUUGCUCUUCAACGAGGAAUCCCUAGUAAGCGCAAGUCAUCAGCUUGCGUUGAUUACGUCCCUGCCCUUUGUACACACCGCCCGUCGCUACUACCGAUUGAAUGGCUCAGUGAAGCGUCCGGACUGGCCCAGAGAGGUGGGCAACUACCACUCAGGGCCGGAAAGCUCUCCAAAUUCGGUCAUUUAGAGGAAGUAAAAGUCGUAACAAGGUC